GCUUAGGGUGCAGGCAUUGGGUUUGCUGGUUGAAGGGGAAGAAGGGAAGGAAAGGAAAAGGGGGAGCCGGCUGAGAAAGUGGAAGUGAGCCGGCUGAGAAGGUCUGUUGUUGGGUCCGGCAGCUGAGGAAGAAGAAAAUGGAAAAUCACCCUCUCUCCUUCGGGUGCAGGGGAGAAGAAGAAAAUCCCAAAGGGGCUGG
rnacentral:lncRNA from 1 species